rnacentral:rRNA from 1 species
GAGGCACGCUGGCGGCGUGUCUUAGCCAUGCAAGUCGAGCGGACUUAUGGGGUAACUUAUAAGUCAGCGGCGGACGGCGGAGUAACACGUAGCUAACCUACCCUCUGGACGGGGAUAACCUACCGAAAGGUGGGCUAAUACCCGAUGUAGUCAUCCUGUAUAGGGGUGAUGAAAGGUGGGCUUCUGUUUACAAGCUCAUGCUGGAGGAGGGGGCUGCGGCCUAUCAGGUAGUUGGUAGGGUAAUAGCCUACCAAGCCGAUGACGGGUAGCCGGCCUGAGAGGGUGACCGGCCCGAGGGGCACUGAGAUACGGGUCCCACUCCUACGGGAGGCAGCAGGCUAGAAAUUUGGGCAAUGGGGGAAACCCUGACCCAGUGACGCCGCGUGCAGGAAGGAGCCCUUCGGGGUGUAAACUGCUGUCGUGUAGGGAGAAGGGUACUAAGGUGAACAAUCUUAGUACUUGACGGUACUACAGGAGGAAGCCCAGGCUAACCUCGUG